AAUCACUCCACAGUCCCUGCUCCUUAUUCAAAAAAAAAGCCCUAAAAUCUCUCUGUUCCUCUCUCUCGCUCUCGCUUUCGCUUGAAUCAACGACAACAGCCAUGAGCCAUCUUCGUUUUUUAGUUAUCCCAAGCCGGUAGCUGACGUCUAGCGCUAGAAAACCCACAAGCCAGGUAUAUUACUUCACCCUUCAUUUUUCACGAUUCUUUAGUGUUUUACUUUUGCUGAUUUUUUGUUCUACGCCAAAUUUGGUUGUUCUAUGUUCCUCUCUCUCGCUUUUGUUGAAAUCACCGAUAACAACCAUGAACCAUCUUCGUUUUUCAGUUGUCCCAAGUCGGUCGCUGACGUCCAGCGCUAAAAAACCCUCAAGCCAGGUUUAUUAUUUCACCCUUCAUUUUUUAAUAUUCUUUAGUGGUUUACUUUUGCUGAUUUUUUUGUUCUAUGCCAGAUUUGGUUGUUUCUUCAUAUACAUACAAUGGCUUUACUAAUUACUACAGUCUAUAAUUUUUUAGUGAAGUAAUUACUUGUUAAAAAUCUGUGUUCCAACUUCUAAGACUUGAUUGUUGAAAAGUUAACUGAAAUUUUAUAGUUCAAGACUUGAUGGGUAAAGUGAGUACCUUGAAUAAGUUUAACUGGAAUUACAAUCUCUACGGCAAGAGAAAAACCCUUUCAUUCUCUUCAGAGCAUUAGACUAUUCACGAGACAAAACUUAAGGCUUGUGCAAUUUUCUAGUUAUCGUGCAUAUUUAUUUUAGCAAAGAGAUUUUAUUCUCUCCUUGUUUAUAAUUUUGCUGACACUGGUUUGGAGCUUGUGUAUUUAUGAAAAUUUUAUAACUACCUUAUAAGUUCUAAUCCUAUCCCAUUAAUAGAGAAUAUUGUGAGAAACCAACUUCUAAUUUGGUUGUGAUUGUUGCUCUUUAGUUUCUCAGUUGAAUUUUAUCUAUACUGUGGUGAUUAGUUCUGUAAAUUUUUGAGGGUCACAUAGUAUAUUAGUGUUGCUUUACACCCAAAAAUGAAUAACUUUAAUUUUUAUCGACAACUUGUCCUAAACUAACCAACCCGACCGAUGCUUGAUUGGGUUGGGUUGGGUUUCAACUUUUACACGAGUUGGGUUAGGUUAAAUUUCGAUCAAAUCGAUCACGUUAGGUUGGGUUUGGAUUGGAGCAAAAAUCGACCCAACCCAACCCAACCCACGACACUUGUCGCUAAUUGCCUUACUGAAUAUUUGUUGAAUGAAUGUUAUAAAAAUGACAUAUCCGCCCCAUGUGUUUCGAUACGAAAAAUAAAUAUUGGAUUUAUAAUUGUGGCAGUUCAUGUUAAUGAUUAAAAUUUAAUUGAAAAUUUAGAAGAACUCAACAAAAAUGAAUUUGAGAUGAAGGAUUUGGGAAAAAUCAAAUUUGUCUCGAAUUGCAUAUUGAACAUUUCGCAAAUAGAUAAUUUGUUUAUAAUCUACGUAAACAAAAAAAAUUUUAAAAUGUUUUUAUAUGGAUAAUGCACAUUCAUUGUCAUCACUUAUGGUUGUUCGAUCACUCGAUGCGAAAAAGGAUCUAUUUCGUCCACUUGAAGAUCAAAAAGAUGUUCUUAUCCCGAAGUACCAUACCUUAGUACAAUUAGAGCAUUAACUUAUCUUACAAAUUGCACUCGACCCGACGUAACUUUUUCUGUAAAUCUCCUUGCGAAAUAUAGCUCUACACCAAUUCAAAACAUUAGACUGUUGUUAAAUAUAUUUUUCGUUACCUAAAGAGUACUAUUCAUUUGAGAUUAUUUUAUUCUCAAAAGUCAGGAUCUGCUUUAGUGGAAUAUGCAG
rnacentral:lncRNA from 1 species